rnacentral:lncRNA from 1 species
UAUGAUCCAAUCCUUAACUUUAAGGAUGUCAAAUUCAAUCCAUUCCUUAACUAUAAGGAUGCCUCAACUUUUGUACCCCUAACUUAAGGGUAAAUAAGAAAAGUCGGUGAUCGUAGAAGUGUAUAUUUGAAAAUGCAAAAUAAUAAUUUUAUUGAGAUAAUAGAGUUCAUUAAUAGAUUUUAACUCUAAGGGUGCGUUUGGUUCGCGCUAUCUUUUAAAGAUUCCUAGUAAUCCAAUGGGAAUAAAAAAAAUAUGACGGUGUUUGGCUAAACGCACUAAGUAAUCUAGUUGGUAAUAUUAGAUUCACUCGGGAAUAAGAUUCACCCCAAAGUACUAAUCUCAUUCCCUUGAGGGAAGGUGAGUAUCCUCAUAUUAAUGGAUUGGGAUAAUCAUAAUAUGUCUAAUCUCUUUCUUUUUUCUUACCCGCCAGCUAAUUGAUAUUAUUUUUCUUUACACUCUAACCUUAUUUCUCUCUCUAAACUUAUUUUUCUCUCUAAAAUUUAACUUUUUUUUCUCUCUCUAAACUAAGCUUUCUCUCUCUCUCUCUCUUUCUAAAAUUUCAACUCUCUUACUCCCUCUAGUUUCAACUAUAUUUUUCUUUCUAUUUUUUUAAUUAUGUUGUCUCUCUCUAACUUAUACUCUCUCUCCUUUUUUUCUAAACAGAUGUUGAAACUUUUGUUAACAUUAUCUAAAAUUAAUUAAAUAAAUAAAUUAAUUAAUUGUAUAUUUUUUGUAAUAUUAAAUAACAUGGCUAAUUAAUAUUACCGUGCGAACCAAAUACAGAAAUUUCACAUUCUUAGUAAUAGGAUGAAUAGGAAUAAGAUUCUCGGAUAUCUUUUAUUCCUAAUAAUCUUUCAUAAUGCAAACCAAAUCCACCCUAAGGGUAUAUUAGAAAUAGGUUGAAACGUAAAAAGGAUAUUUUCAAUAUUAGCCUUCUAAGAAGGGUAAAUCAGAAGUCGGAAACUUUUCAGGAGUAUAUAAGCAAUUGCCCCUGAUUGAAAAGUAAAAAAUAGCUAUAAAAAUAU